rnacentral:ncRNA from 1 species
GCCCGCACAACUGACGGAAUUUCGUGGGGACACCACGGGGGAGUGCGGUGCGUUGAUACCUGCCGACCGUCUGGGCAAC